rnacentral:misc_RNA from 1 species
AAGGAAUCCACGCAAGCACCUCCCGUAAGACCAAGGGCUUUCACAACGGUAGGAUCAUGAGGACCCUGGAGGACUCCCAUUCGACCAACUAUGAAGUUGCCUUCAUGGUUCCUCAGAAUAGCACCACAACCCAUACAACUUUCAUGAGCAAAAUUAGCAGCGUCUAUGUUGCAGUUAAAAACCCCUUCAGGAGGCCGAGACCAGCCAUGGAUGAAGCUGCUGGCUGAAGAUUCCCUAUUGGGAUACUGAUG